AGUGAACGCUGGCGGUAGGCCUAACACAUGCAAGUCGAACGGCAGCACAGUAAGAGCUUGCUCUUACGGGUGGCGAGUGGCGGACGGGUGAGGAAUACAUCGGAAUCUACUUUUUCGUGGGGGAUAACGUAGGGAAACUUACGCUAAUACCGCAUACGACCUACGGGUGAAAGCAGGGGAUCUUCGGACCUUGCCCGAUUGAAUGAGCCGAUGUCGGAUUAGCUAGUUGGCGGGGUAAAGGCCCACCAAGGCGACGAUCCGUAGCUGGUCUGAGAGGAUGAUCAGCCACACUGGAACUGGGACACGGGCCAGACUCCUACGGGAGGCAGCAGUGGGGAAUAUUGGACAAUGGGCGCAAGCCUGAUCCAGCCAUACCGCGUGGGUGAAGAAGGCCUUCGGGUUGUAAAGCCCUUUUGUUGGGAAAGAAAAGCAGCAGGUUAAUACCCCGCUGUUCUGACGGUACCCAAAGAAUAAGCACCGGCUAACUUCGUG
rnacentral:rRNA from 1 species